UGGGAACCUUCCCUAUGGUUCGGAAUAGCUCAGGGAAACUUGGGGUAAUACCGGAUAAGCCCUUCGGGGGAAAGAUUUAUCGCCAUUGGAUGGGCCCGCGUCGGAUUAGCUAGUUGGUGAGGUAACGGCCUACCAAGGCGACGAUCCGUAGCUGGUCUGAGAGGAUGAUCAGCCACACUGGGACUGAGACACGGCCCAGACACCUACGGGAGGCAG
rnacentral:rRNA from 1 species